rnacentral:rRNA from 1 species
UACGUAGGGUGCGAGCGUUAAUCGGAAUUACUGGGCGUAAAGCGUGCGCAGGCGGUUCGUUAAGUCAGAUGUGAAAGCCCCGGGCUCAACCUGGGAACUGCAUUUGAAACUGGCGGGCUUGAGUACGGCAGAGGGGGGUGGAAUUCCGCGUGUAGGCAGUGAAAUGCGUAGAGAUGCGGAGGAACACCGAUGGCGAAGGCAGCCCCCUGGGCCAAUACUGACGCUCAGGCACGAAAGCGUGGGGAGCAAACAGG